ensembl:ribozyme RNaseP_nuc Nuclear RNase P
GCUGAGAGAAGUGCAGCAGUGGGCCAUGAGCUGUCAAAUCACUCUCUACCCCAUGCCUUGGGAAGGUCGAGACCAUGGCCAACAGCAGCCUAACAGGGCCCUUCCCUAACUGGGCAAAAUGAGUUCCCAGAGAGCCAGAACUCUAUGCAAGGGUAGACUGGCCAGAAAGCUAGCUCUUCAGUAGAGAAUGAAUGCUUACAUUGCCUUCUAUGGAUUAAAAAAUUGCUCUUAUUGC